AGCGGCGGACGGGUGAGUAAUGCCUAGGAAAUUGCCCUGAUGUGGGGGAUAACCAUUGGAAACGAUGGCUAAUACCGCAUGAUGCCUACGGGCCAAAGAGGGGGACCUUCGGGCCUCUCGCGUCAGGAUAUGCCUAGGUGGGAUUAGCUAGUUGGUGAGGUAAGGGCUCACCAAGGCGACGAUCCCUAGCUGGUCUGAGAGGAUGAUCAGCCACACUGGAACUGAGACACGGUCCAGACUCCUACGGGAGGCAGCAGUGGGGAAUAUUGCACAAUGGGCGCAAGCCUGAUGCAGCCAUGCCGCGUGUAUGAAGAAGGCCUUCGGGUUGUAAAGUACUUUCAGUCGUGAGGAAGGCGGCGUCGUUAAUAGCGGCGUUGUUUGACGUUAGCGACAGAAGAAGCACCGGCUAACUCCGUGCCAGCAGCCCCGGUAAUACGGAGGGUGCGAGCGUUAAUCGGAAUUACUGGGCGUAAAGCGCAUGCAGGUGGUUUGUUAAGUCAGAUGUGAAAGCCCGGGGCUCAACCUCGGAAUAGCAUUUGAAACUGGCAGACUAGAGUACUGUAGAGGGGGGUAGAAUUUC
rnacentral:rRNA from 1 species